GGAAUUAAAGGUGAACCACUUCCCUUAAUGGAGAGAAGAAAAGAGUUGGUAGCAUAGGUCAGACAAGGUAUUUGAUAAAGAUCACCAGGACAAGAGAUAUGAUAAAAUUAUGUGUAAUGACACAACUAUAAUGCAGUCUUAAAUGGUGAGCCCAUCCAUUUUUUUCCUAAAUUUUGUUUCCAAUUUUUUGCUUUCAAAUUUUUUUCCUAAUUUUUCUUCUGGAAUGUUUGUUUCCAAAUUUUUCUCCCAAUUUUUGUUCCAAUUUUCUGUUUUAUGGAUUUUUCUAUAAUUCAUAUAAAUUUUGUCUCUCUGCAAAUAUUUAUGCACAAAUUUCUGUAUUUGAACAAAUUUAUACAAAAGAUUGUUAUACAAAUUUGUGCGCACACAAAAUUUUUCCUUGAUAUGAGAAAGGGAAUGACGAGAGCACAUCGGUAUAAGUUUUUGCUGUAUAUAAAUUUGUAUAUAAACUUGCAUACAUAAAUUAUUUACAGUAAAAAUGCAAAAGAGAGUGGGGAUUAGUGUGGAUCACCCCAAAAAAAGGCUUGUCGGGAAUCGUUCGCCAGGGAUCUUGCUGGCGAGCGCACUGAUGACUAGCAACGGCCCAGCAUUUGCCGCAAUGGAGAAGAAGAAAAGUUUUCACAGCUACCGAUCAUUAGUCCUGGGUUAUAUUAGGCAAUGUAUAGUAUUUGAUUGAGAUUAUCAUGACUUUAGUUUGAAAGUUUGAAAAAAAACAAUAUUAGAGAAAACAUUUCGUUUAAUGGGGAAAGAAGAUUUCUGUAUACAAUGACACACCUACCUAUAUAAACAGACCUCUCCCGGAGAUUCCAUCGACCCUAUUAAAAGUGGGUUGCAAUAGAGUCAUUGUUCGUUUAUUUACCACAUCACAUAACUGUCUUGGAAGGUGAAGAAAUGUAGAGAAAAAUAAAAGAAAACAAAAGGAUUCCAAGCACCAUGAAAGCGCAUUGCUUUUGAAAAAUCAUCUUGUGUUUGGCUUAAAGUUUGUAGUAUCGGCUGCAUAUACAUAGGUUUAGGUAUGGGAGGCAACAGGGGAAGAUUGCGACAUUGCGUUAAGGUACGGGUUGGUAUCGAGCCGCUCUCAGCUUGUUUCGCGGCAGCUUGUUGCGUUACCGAGCUG
rnacentral:lncRNA from 1 species